CAUGUUUUUGAGUAGAGAAAUCACAAUAAAAAUAUUGUAUUGGAGCUUAAAUGUUUGGAGAAUAAUGAUUAUUUUGUAUUAUUUAGCAUGAUAUCAGAACAUGAGGUCUUGAAUUCGAAUCUCGUCAAACUCUUAACAUUAUUUAUUUUUUAAAUGUGAGACAGAGUGUUGAAUAUAAAAUAUAUAAACGUCGUUCACUAAUAAUUUAAGUUGAUGGAUAAUAAUAGUUUUAUAUUUUUAUAUUUAAUAAUUUAGAAUCAGACCCGUUUGGAUAACUAGUUAAA
rnacentral:lncRNA from 1 species